rnacentral:tRNA from 1 species
GGAGAUACAGUUCAAUGGCACAACACUUGCCUUAGCAUGUCUCAUGAGGCCCUGGGUUCAAUUCCCAGUACCACCA